rnacentral:rRNA from 1 species
ACGGGUGAGUAAUAUAUCGGAACGUACCUUUGAGUGGGGGAUAACUAGUCGAAAGAUUAGCUAAUACCGCAUACGAUCUACGGAUGAAAGUGGGGGAUCGCAAGACCUCAUGCUCAUAGAGCGGCCGAUAUCUGAUUAGCUAGUUGGUGAGGUAAUGGCUCACCAAGGCUUCGAUCAGUAGCUGGUCUGAGAGGACGACCAGCCACACUGGGACUGAGACACGGCCCAGACUCCUACGGGAGGCAGCAGUGGGGAAUUUUGGACAAUGGGGGCAACCCUGAUCCAGCAAUGCCGCGUGAGUGAAGAAGGCCUUCGGGUUGUAAAGCUCUUUUGUCAGGGAAGAAACGGGGUGUCCUAAUACGAUGCCCUAAUGACGGUACCUGAAGAAUAAGCACCGGCUAACUACGUGCCAGCAGCCGCGGUAAUACGUAGGGUGCAAGCGUUAAUCGGAAUUACUGGGCGUAAAGCGUGCGCAGGCGGUUAUGUAAGACAGGUGUGAAAUCCCCGGGCUUAACCUGGGAAUGGCAUUUGUGACUGCAUAGCUAGAGUGUGUCAGAGGGGGGUAGAAUUCCACGUGUAGCAGUG